rnacentral:lncRNA from 1 species
ACAACGAAUGCAGCUGGCCCAGAAACUGCAGCAGCAGCAGCAGCAGCAGCAGCAGCAGCAGCAGCAGCAGCUCUUAGGGCAGGUGGCAGUCCAACAACAACAGGGUCCUGUAGGACAGAACCAGGCUCUGGGUCCUAAGCCUCAGGGCCUUCUGCCUCCCAGCAACCACCAGGGUCUCCUGGUUCAACAGUUGUCCCCCCAACAAUCACAGGGGUCCCAGGGCAUGCUAGGUUCUUCCCAGGUGGCAGUGCUGCAACAGCAGCAGCAGCAGCAGCAGCAGCAGCAGCAGCAGCAGCAGCAGCAGCACUCUGGAGCUUUGGGUCCUCAGGGCCCUCACAGACAGGUG